rnacentral:rRNA from 1 species
UACGAAGGGGGCUAGCGUUGCUCGGAAUCACGUGGGCGUAAAGGGUGCGUAGGCGGGUCUUUAAGUCAGGGGUGAAAUCCUGGAGCUCAACUCCAGAACUGCCUUUGAUACUGAGGAUCUUGAGUUCGGGAGAGGUGAGUGGAACUGCGAGUGUAGAGGUGAAAUUCGUAGAUAUUCGCAAGAACACCAGUGGCGAAGGCGGCUCACUGGCCCGAUACUGACGCUGAGGCACGAAAGCGUGGGGAGCAAACAGG